CUUCAGGUGUGUAUUUGUUCAUUCGCGCACUGCUAUAAAGAAAUACCUGAGACUGGGUAAUUUAUAAAGAAAAGAAGUUAAUUGACUCAGUUCUGCAGGCAAUACAGGAAGCAAGAUGCUGUCAUCCGCUUGGCUUCAGGUCUCCAGCUCACUGAAAACAGCCUCCCCUGAUGAGCACACCAUUGUUAUGUAAUAGCCUAACCCUUACCCCUCGCCUAUCAGGGGGUGCCAAGCCUGCAGACUCACUCUGCUUUCCUCAUAACUGCCCUGAGGAGAAGGCUGAAGACUGAGGAAUCCUCUUUCUGCCUCCCAUUUGACUGCAUUUUCUUUGGUCAGAGUCUCCCUUAUUCAUGGGACCUGCCUGGGUCCAGGACCCCUUGACAGGUGCUCUCUGGCUGCCUGUCCUCUGGGCACUCUUGUCCCAGGUCUAUUGUUUUCAUGACCCACCAGGAUGGCGCUUCACUUCCUCAGAAAUUGUGAUCCCCAGGAAAGUGCCCCACAGGAGGGGUGGAGUUGAGAUGCCAGACCAGCUCUCUUACAGCAUGCAUUUCCGGGGCCGAAGACACGUGAUUCACAUGAAGCUCAAGAAGAACAUGAUGCCCAGACAUUUACCUGUUUUUACUAAUAAUGACCAAGGGGCCAUGCAGGAGAACUACCCUUUUGUCCCACGAGACUGUUACUACGAUUGCUACCUGGAAGGGGUUCCUGGGUCUGUGGCCACAUUGGACACCUGCCGUGGAGGUCUGCGUGGCAUGCUGCAGGUGGAUGACCUGACUUAUGAAAUCAA
rnacentral:lncRNA from 1 species